rnacentral:rRNA from 1 species
UACGUAGGGUGCAAGCGUUGUCCGGAAUUAUUGGGCGUAAAGAGCUCGUAGGCGGUUUGUCGCGUCUGCUGUGAAAACUCGGGGCUCAACUCCGAGCUUGCAGUGGGUACGGGCAGACUAGAGUGCGGUAGGGGAGACUGGAAUUCCUGGUGUAGCGGUGGAAUGCGCAGGAUAUCAGGAGGAACACCGGUGGCGAAGGCGGGUCUCUGGGCCGAUACUGACGCUGAGGAGCGAAAGCGUGGGGAGCGAACAGG